rnacentral:rRNA from 1 species
CACGUAGGGGGCGAGCGUUGUCCGGAUUUAUUGGGCGUAAAGAGCUCGUAGGCGGCUUUGUCAGUCGGGUGUGAAACCUCCAGGCUCAACCUGGAGCCGCCACCCGAUACUGCAAUAGCUAGAGUCCGGUAGGGGAGCAUGGAACUCCUGGUGUAGCGGUGAAAUGCGCAGAUAUCAGGAAGAACACCCGUGGCGAAGGCGGUUCUCUGGGACGGUACUGACGCUGAGACGCGAAAGCGUGGGGAGCGAACAGG